GAUGAAGAACGCAGCGAAAUGCGAUAAGUAAUGUGAAUUGCAGAAUUCAGUGAAUCAUCGAAUCUUUGAACGCACAUUGCGCCCCCUGGUAUUCCGGGGGGCAUGCCUGUCCGAGCGUCAUUACUGCCCUCAAGCGCGGCUUGUGUGUUGGGCCUUCGCCCCCCCCGGGGGCGUGCCCGAAAGGCAGUGGCGGCGCCGUGCCCGGUCCUCGAGCGUAUGGGGCUUUGUCACCCGCUCUGGAGGCCCGGCCGGCCGCCGCCGACCCGCCCAGACCUUUAACCGGUUGACCUCGGAUCAGGCAGGGAUACCCGCUGAACUUAAGCAUAUCAAUAAGCGGAGGA
rnacentral:misc_RNA from 1 species